GGACAGAGAAGCCAGGUCACGGGAAGAGAAAGAGUCUUGGCAAACAUCUUUUGCAGUCUUAGAGAUAGGAAAAAAAAACCUUCCAAUUUUCCUACAGUCAUUAAAAAUCUCUUCCUUUCUUUCUCUUUGGAAUAAAGAAAUGUGAAAUAUUUUACUAAUAUCCAGGAACUGAGCUCAACAAUAAUGGAGGCUUAUAAAUUCAUGGAUUGUAGUCGUAUCCCCAUAGUGAUACCCAAAUAGCCUAAUGUACACAGUACUAAGGCACUUGAAGUUCUAAAAAUAGGCAUGGAAAUAUUAAAGAUAAAGAAAUAAAUCACCCUCACCUAUGUAUAUGCCUCCACACGUCUGUGAGUGCCACAGUUCUUUGGACUAUGUGGUAAGAGUCUAAGGAGAUCAUUGCCAACGUUAACAUUAGAACUGAUGAUAUAAAAUGUCCAGAACUAACUGAGUGGACAUCAGGGGAAGCAAUAGACAUAUUCCAGGAGACAUUCAGUUUCACUUGCCUGGACACUUCUCCCAAGGCUGGAAAACACAUUAUUCAGAAAGAGGGUGCCACGUAAUGAUAAUGGAAUAAAAGAGAGUUUCUCAUGCACGAAACUCAUCAACGUUUCAAGAAACAUCAGGAGCAUACCUGGCACCAUUUUGAACUCUCCCCAAAGUUCAAAGAUUAAUCUUGGGUCCAAGUAUCCUGUCUACAUACCAGAGGGUUCCUGAGGCUUACCAACUGGCAGUGACUUUGUGAUCUUUGUAACUGUCAUUUUAUAGAAUGGAUCAUUUCUUUUUUCUUCUUAAUUGCAUCUGUGUGUGUGUGUGUGUGUGUGUGUGUGUGUGUGUGUGUGUGUGUGUAUGCCAUGUACAUGUUAGUGCAUAUGUGUAGAGGUCAGAGGACUUUCUUAGAUGUCAUCUUCAGGUACAGCAUCCACUUCCUUUGAGGCAAGGUUUCUCAUUGGCUUAGAGCUCACCAGCUAGCCACUGUGUCCCAAGUAUCUGCCUGUCUUCCACUCUCCAGUAUUAGGAUUAAACACACUUGCCACCAUGCCUGGCAUUUUUGUGGGGGUUUUGGGAUCAAACUCAGGUCCCUGUGUUUAUCAAGCAAGCCAUCUCCUCAGACCUACAGCUGUCACUUCUAAAUAGAAUGUUGCUUCUUAAAAUAGUGCUCCCCAGUGUGAUUUUGUGAGUGCUAAAAAUAUGGGGGCUACUUGCUUUGUAGUUAAAACAUUAGAAUGUUUCUAGAGCAGGUACUCAGGCACCAAAUUCCAGGCUCUCAGAAGCUUUUAACAAAGUCAGACCAUCAGUGUGACCCAGCCUAGAAUCCCAAGACCUGUAAUUGAGAGGGCCCUGAGGGAAAGGAAAGCCUCUGGAGCUCCAGCGGGUUGGCAUAUUUGUUUCAGUUUGUCACCCUUUUCGGGUAUUAUUACAGACGCCUGCCUAGGUGUGAUCUACAGAACAUGUCUGUGACCUUCCUUGUCACAUCAGCAUGGAGCUGGUGUUGGGUUCCGGAGAACUCCAUGACUGAAUCCAUUUGAGACAGCAGAUAGUGUGCAGCAACUUUUUGUUUUUAACUUAAACAAUCUAGGUUCAAAUCCUAGCUCUAUCACUUAUCAAGCACAUGACUUUGGGCAACAGCAUCUCUUUGUACCUUGACUUCCUCGUCCAUGCAAAGGAGUAAUGAGGGUGUCUCUUUCAUGAGGUAGUCAACAGCUUUUAGGGACCAGUAAGUGUAAAGGCACUUAAGAGAGGUUGGGCAUAUUACAACCCCCUAGCCAAAUAAACUGCCAUUCUUAUCAAGAACUCAGUGACAAGGUGAACAGUUUUGGGAGUGAAACUUCCCUAGAGCCCCAGACAGCUAGGACUCCUCAGACCUUCCCCCAAUAAGGACAGAACAGAAGGGAAGAGGGGAUUCCCAUGUUCCAGUCAUCCUUAGCCUUGGCUGUUUGAUUUACAGCAUCGGUUGCUUUGGCAUGAGUCACUCUUACAAUCACCAUGGCCAUUUCAAUCUGACUAGCUUUUGGUUCUGUGAGGCAAAAUCCUGUAUGUACAAAAAUUCUUGUUGAGAGUCAAAUCUUAACAGUAAUUUUGCCCUCCUACAGUGUUGUCUAGAGAAUUCUCAGCCUGCCCCUGGCCCCUUGACCUGUUCUGCUUUCUCUAGUAUUCCACUCCCCUGGCUGGCUUCUCCAGAGUCAAGUUCCUGGAAGCUCUGCCAAGUUCUAUGUACACAACAUCAAAGCAGAACCUCACAACAACUAUGCAAGGUACACAGACAUGUUCUUUCACCAGAAGACAAGCAGGGAUUGGAAGUGUGGGCAACAUAGGGUCACUCAGAUUCAAUGUGGUAUUCUGGGAUUUGAACACUCCUCUGCUUGAUUCUGCUACAUGCUGGCUCUUGAUGACCCUGGGAGGUCUAUGACUUAAGAAGUAUACAGAAAGUUCUUGGUCAUUGCUCUCCUACAUGAGGGAGAAGAGAAGAGGAAGGACUUAGACAUGGGCACAUCAUAAAGCUAGACUUGGCUAUUUUCCCCCCAAAUACGUUGCAGGCAGAGAACUGCACAUGAGCCAUGUGGGAGCCUGUGGAGGCAGACCUUCAGAUGUCUACAAUUAAGGAGGAUUUGGCUAAACGUGCCCAGAGGCCAAGAUUUAAACAUACAUGGCCAACCUUAUCCUUUGCUUGGUGAAAUUUCCCAACAGUAGCAUUGUUAACAUAAAAUAAGUCCCAAGUAGAUAAAAUUAUGUAAUGCCAGUAAAAUCCCAACUUAGUCACUGCUCUAAUUUUAACAGCAUAGGAUGCUCUGGAGGGUAAGCCUGGUUGCUGUCAAGCCCAAGAAUGAAAGAACAUGACGCCAUCAUUGCUUGGCCAAAGGCUUCAUUAAGAAGCUCCCAGUUGGAGUCGAAGUGAUUUCACGGUAUCGUGUCAGCACACUGAACAGUUUGAAGAAUGAAACUGUCAAUGACUCUACCGACAAACGAGAUCUGAGUUUAUGGAGAAGCAGUGCAUUUUAGAUGACCUCUCAGGACAAUGUUCUCAACGUUAAAACAGUAGUGAAUACAGGUAGUAAAUAAAAGCAUUAGUGAAAGCA